ACGGUAUGACAUGGAAGCUUGCUGAAGUGUCAUAUAGGUAGCGGACGGGUGAGUAAUGCAUGAGAAGCUGCCAUUGGGAGGGGGACAACAGUUGGAAACGGCUGCUAAUACCCCGUAUGCCGGAGGGUGAAAGGGAGUAAUCCGCCCGAUGAGGUGCUCAUGUCCUAUCAGCUGGUUGGUGGGGUAACGGCCUACCAAGGCGACGACGGGUAGCCGGCCUGAGAGGGUGAACGGCCACACUGGAACUGAGAUACGGUCCAGACUCCUACGGGAGGCAGCAGUGGGGAAUAUUGGGCAAAUGGGGGCAACCCUGACCCAGCGACGCCGCGUGGGGGAAGACGGCCUUCGGGUUGUAAACCUCUUUUGUACGGGAAGAAGGAAGUGACGGUACUGUACGAAUAAGUCCCGGCUAACUACGUGCCAGCAGCCGC
rnacentral:rRNA from 1 species